AAGAUUUUAAGUUAAUUAAACUAUUAACCUUCAAAGUUAAAAUUAUCUAAGAUGAUAAAUCUUA
rnacentral:tRNA from 2 species